ensembl:lncRNA uncharacterized LOC113908858
CAGAGGAAGAAGCAGACUCCCCACAGAGCAGGAAGCCUGACCGGACACAGGGUUCAAUCCAGGACCCUGGGAUCAUGACCUGAGCCCAAGGCAGACGUUUAACUGACUGAGCCACCCAGGUGCCCCUAAGGGCAUAAAAUCUUAAAAAGAAGUCUUCUACUGACUGCCUCCUUGAAAAAGCCAAGUUACAGCUAUUUUCAAGUUCAGUGGUCAAAAACUUUUGAAGUAAACCCAGGGAAAAUACUCUGAUUGAUCUUGGCAUUUUCCGGCAGAUCCACUUUCUGGGUCCCACCUGGUUCUAUAUCAUUAUUAUCUGGCUGACUUUUCAUCCUCACCAGACUGUGAGCAAGUCAAAGAAGAAGACCAAGCCCUGCACUGCACACCUGUUAGAGCACCACUACGCUCCCUGCUGGCUUGAACACAGAGCUUUCAUCUGAGUCAACAGCUUAUGCAUCUUUAUAGCCCUGAGUUCCUAACAGUGCUGUAGUUAUUUUUGUUGGAUUAUGAAUAUGUAAUGUAAUAAUCAUAUUUCACAUAUACCAUAACUUGUCUAGCUCAACCAUUUCCUAAUUCUCUAUUCCACAGUUUUGAAAGUGGCUUUGUAACAUAGAAAAUUGGCAUUGUUUUCCUUUGUAGUUUAAAUAAAAUGCUGACCUCCU